CACGUAGGGUGCGAGCGUUGUCCGGAAUUAUUGGGCGUAAAGAGCUCGUAGGCGGUGUGUCGCGUCGGCCGUGAAAACCUGCAGCUUAACUGUGGGCUUGCGGUCGAUACGGGCAUCACUGGAGUUCGGCAGGGGAGACUGGAAUUCCUGGUGUAGCGGUGAAAUGCGCAGAUAUCAGGAGGAACACCAAUAGCGAAGGCAGCUCGCUGGGACGGUACUGACGCUGAGGCGCGAAAGCGUGGGGAGCGAACAGG
rnacentral:rRNA from 1 species